AAACGGCCCCACCCUUAUCUCCCUUCGCUGACUCUAUUUUCGGACUCAGCCCGCCUGCACCCAGGUGAUUAAAAGCUUUAUUGCUCACACAAAGCCUGUUUGGUGGUCUCUUCACACGGACGCGCAUAGAAUUUGUUGCCGUGACUCAGAUCGGGGGACCUCCCUUGGGAGAUCAAUCCCCUGUCCUCCUGCUCUUUGCUCCGUGAGAAAGAUCCACCUACGACCUCAGGUCCUCGGACCGACCAGCCCAAGAAACAUCUCACCAAUUUCAAAUCCGGUAAGCGGCCUCUUUUUACUCUCUUCUCCAACCUCCCUCACUAUCCCUCAACCUCUUUCUCCUUUCAAUCUUGGUGCCACACUUCAGUCUCUCCUCUUAAUUUCAAUUCCUUUCAUUUUCUGGUAGAGACAAAAGAGACAUGUUUUAUCCGUGAACCCAAAACUCCGGCGCCGGUCACGGACUGGGAAGGCAGCCUUCCCUUGGUGUUUAAUCAUUGUAGGGACACCUCUCUGAUUAUACACUCACGUUUCAAGGGUGUCAGACCACGCAGGGACGCCUGCCUUGGUCCUUCACCCUUAGUGGCAAGUCCCGCUUUCCUGGGGCAGGGGCAAGUACCUCUCAACCCCUUCUCCUUCACCCUUAGCAGCAAGUCCCGCUUUCCUGGGGCAGGGGCAAGUAUCCCUCAACCCCUUCCCCUUCACCCUUAGCGGCCAGUCCCGCUUUCCUGGGGCAGGGGCAAGUACCCCUCAACACCUUCUCCUUCACCCUUAGCGGCAAGUCCCGCUUUCCUAAGGGGCAAGAACCCCCCCAAUCGCUUAUUUCUGCACCCCAACCUCUUAUCUCUGCACCCCAAUUGCUUAUUUCCGCACCCCAACCUCUUAUCUCUGCGUCCCAAUCCCUUAUUUCCGCACCCUGACCUCUUAUCUCUGUGCCCCAAUCCCUUAUUUCCAUGUCCCAACCCUUUCUCUGUUUUUCUGGAGGGGAAGAAACCCCCACCCCUUCUCCGUGUCUCUACUCUUUUCUCUGGGCUUGGCUCCUUCACUAUGGGCAAGCUUCCACCUUCCAUUCCUCUUUCUUCUCCCUUAGCCUGUAUUCUUAAGAACUUAAAACCUCUUCAAUUCUCACCUGACCUAAAAUCUAAGCGUCUUAUUUUCUUCUGCAAUGCCACUUGACCCCAAUACAAACUCAACAGUAGUUCCAAAUAGCCAGAAAACGGCACUUUCAAUUUUUCCAUCCUACAAGAUCUAAAUAAUUCUUGUCGUAAAAUGGGCAAAUGGUCUGAGGUGCCUGACGUCCAGGCAUUCUUUUACACAUCAGUCCCUUGCUAGUUUCUGUGCCCAGUGCAACUCGUCCCAAAUCUUCCUUCUUUCCCUCCCGCCUGUCCCCUCAGUACCAACCCCAAGCGUAGCUGAGCCUUUCUAAUCUUCCUUUUCUACAGACCCAUCUGACCUCUCCCCUCCUCGACAGGCCGAGCUAGGUCCCAAUUCUUCCUCAGCCUCCACUCCUCCACCCUAUAAUAUUUUUAUCGCCUCCCCCUCCUCACACCUGCUCCGGCUUACAGUUUCAUUCCGUGACUAGCCCUCCCCCACCUGCCCAGCAAUUUAUUCUUAAAAAGGUGGCUGGAGCUAAAGGCAUAGUCAAGGUUAAUGCUCCUUUUUCUUUAUCCCACAUCAGAUAGCGUUUAGGCUCUUUUUCAUCAAAUAUAAAAAUCCAGCCCAGUUCAUGGCUCGUUUGGCAGCAACCCUGAGACACUUUACAGCCCUAGCCCCUAAAAGGUCAAAAGGCCAUCUUAUUCUCAAUAUACAUUUUAUUACCCAAUCUGCUCCCGACAUUAAAUAAAACUCCAAAAACUGAAAUCUGGCCCUCAAACCCCACAACAGGACUUAAUUAACCUCACCUUCAAGGUGUGCAAUAACAGAAAAAAGUUGCAAUUCCUUGCCUCCACUGUGAGACAAACCCCAGCCACAUCUCCAGCACACAAGAACUUCCAAACGCCUGAACUGUAGCAGCCAGGCGUUCCUCCAGAACCUCCUCCCCCAGGAACUUGCUACACAUGCUGGAAGUCUGGCCACUGGGCCAAGGAAUGCCCACAGCCCGGGAUUCCUCCUAAGCCGCGUCCCAUCUGUGUGGGACCCCACUGAAUAUUGGACUGUUCAACUCACCUGGCAGCCACUCCCAGAGCUCCUGGAACUCUGGCCCAAGGCUCUCUGACAGAUUCCUUCUUGGCUUAGCGGCUGAAGACUGACACUGCCUGAUCACCUCGGAAGCCCCCAGACCAUCAUAGACAGCAAGCUUCGGGUAACUUUCACAGUGGAAGAAGGCAGGAAUGUCAGGCCUCUGAGCCGAAGCCAAGCCAUCGCAUCCCCUGUGACCUGCACGUAUAUGCCCAGAUGGCCUGAAGUAACUAAAGAAUCACAAAAGAAGUGAAUAUGCCCUGCCCCACCUUAACUGAUGACAUUCCACCACAAAAGAAGUGUAAAUGGCCGGUCCUUGCCUUAACUGAUGACAUUACCUUGUGAAAGUCCUUUUCCUGGCUCAUCCUGGCUCAAAAAGCACCCCCCACUGAGCACCUUGAGACCCCUACUCCUGCCCGCCAGAGAACAAACCCCCUUUGACUGUAAUUUUCCUUUACCUACCCAAAUCCUAUAAAACGGCCCCACCCUCAUCUCCCUUCGCUGACUCUCUUUUCGGACUCAGCCCGCCUGCACCCAGGUGAUUAAAAGCUUUAUUGCUCACACAAA